GCAAACUUGGUCAUUUAGAGGAAGUAAAAGUCGUAACAAGGUUUCCGUAGGUGAACCUGCGGAAGGAUCAUUAACACGUAUCCACGUAUCAACCCUUCGUGCACCACAAAACGUUAAAGGUCAGUCUAGUCUAUCCGCUCGCAUGGGUCUUAACGAUGUCCAGCUUGCUUCUCCUCUCCCUAUCUCCCUAGGGGACUGUGGAUCGAGGAGGGGUGGUUGGGGGACUCGAGAGGGUAGGCGCUUUGACGAUUGGCCGAUAUUUUCGCAUCGUUAGCCCGUAUUGUUAUUUUAACCCCUUUGUACCUUCUGUACUGAACCAAUUCUUUCGGAGCUCGAAAGGGCGACGAAAAGAUAUUACGAAACUAAAGAACAACUCUUAGCAACGGAUAUCUUGGUUCCCGCAUCGAUGAAGAACGCAGC
rnacentral:misc_RNA from 1 species